rnacentral:lncRNA from 1 species
ACAAUACAAGGUCAUUCUGUGUCUCUUCUACCCUGUUUGGUUCCUUGGCGUGUGUCUGCGUGUCCCAGGCCCUCCGGUGUUUGAGGAGCAGCUGUCAGACGUCACCACCCAGCCGGGGCAGACCAUCCAGCUGGCCUGCAGGGUGACCGGCUCCCCCGCCCCGGUAGUCAGCUGGCUCAAAGACGGGCUCCACCUGGACGUGGACCUGCGCCACAUCCUGACGGCCAGGCGGUCGGGGGCCCACAGCCUGGUGCUGGAUGGCCUGGCCCCGGGGGACGGGGGCCAGUACCUCUGCUACGCCCUCAGCCCGGUGGGCAGCGCCAGCACCCUGGCCCGGGUCACCGUGGAGGGCCCUCCCCGGUUCCUCAGCCGACUGGAGAGCAUGUGUCUGAUGGAGGGGGAGGACCUCCAGUUCAUCUGCUCCACCCUCUCCACCCCCCUGCCCAGAGUCAGGUACAGCCCCCCCCCCCCAACCCUUAUCAAAAGGACAGUUGUUACCGUGGACCCGACUAACCCCUGUGUUAUCCACUGUAUCGCCAGGUGGGGUAAAGAUGGUGUAGAGCUGACCGACCGGAGUAAGUACCGGAUCUCCAACGACGCCCGCAGUGGGAUCCUGACUCUGACCGUCGUCAGCCCCACCGAGGCCGACGUCGGCCUCUACGAGUGCGAGCUCUCGAACCCGAUGGGCUGCGCCAAGUGCAAGGCCGGACUUUGCCCCGCCUACGUGCCGUCGAUUGACAGCGAGAUCGUCGAACCGCAGGACUUGUCCCCCAAAGGUAGGCCGGUCCCAGACGAGCCAGGUAAACACGCAUCACAGGGGUCCAGGGCCCCCAAGAGAGUUUUAUUAGCGUUGUAUCUCAGUUAUAAACACCCUGGUGGUACAAGGAAACACUGGGAAUACUUUUAG